GUCCUUGUAGUAUAAACGAUUACCCUGGUCUUGUAAACCAGAAAUGGAGAACGCUUACUCCCAAGGACA
rnacentral:tRNA from 1 species